UAUAUUGUCAGGGUCUUAACCCAAUGAGCCACAACGGGAACUCCCAGAGAUCUAUAGAUUUUUAAACGAGGACCUGGUCUAGCCAAAGCUGUGUUCCCACCGUCAAUCACCUGGCAGGAUGGAUUAGAGGAGGACAGUGGGAAGAAAUAGGCAGGACCUCUCAGAAAGCCAUGGCCACCACUGGAUGCGGAAGUGAUGGACUCUAUGCAAAUGCAGUGCUGGCAGCUGGAAGGCAAAAGAAGGGGGGUGGACAGAAAGAAGUUUCUGGGGAGAGGAGUGGAUGGAGGAGUGGGCAGGUGCAGCCUGGGUUUCUCCUGCCGGCACUAUAAAGCCAAGACCCUGUCCCCGAGAGCCCCGACAACACCCACGCCGGCCCCACGAGGCACAUCGUUUGCUUUUAUUUUAUUUUGUUUUUCCUUGUCUUUUAUUUUCACCCUGGCAUGGACCAGCAGGACUGGCGCUGAGCUCUGCUGCGUAGCAGGCAUGCAAGGACGGUCUGGGAGGGGUUCUGACGCCCAUGCCCAGGGCAGGUGGUGCGGGUCCCCGCUCUCUCCAGGUGACCCCCGCAGAGCCACUGCCCCUCGGAGCUGCCAGGCCCCGGCCUCCCAUUCCUUAUCGCCCACAGCACCUUCUGCAAUAACUGAACCGAAGCAGGAGUGGGAAGAAAGAAAUUCAACCUGGUUUCCUCUGCCCAGCUCCGAACGGUGUCUUGCCCAGAGCCCUAUUUCUCAAUCUCUCCUCUGGCGCCUUUUAAUAUUUAUAGCUGCGUGGACAGAAUGCGGAGUGUGAGAGCUUGUCGGAUCCUGGAAGCAGAGACGUAGGAGAGCUGUCCCCUACCUGAGGACCCAGCAACCCAAGGGACUGCCCCCAGGGCCAUUCCCAGGAGACCCCCUGAGAGGGUCCCGCUGGCUAUCUGGUCCCCUUCAUUGUACUCAGCCAAGGUCUCCCUUUGUGCUGUUUUUUCUCCCCACUUUCUGCAUCUCCACCAACCCGAGCGCAGUCUCUGCAUUGCUUCCUGGCGAGGACCAAAAAGUUUUUUCCAUAUUUGUUCAUUUCUGCUGCAUUUAAAAAGGCCCUCAGACCUUAGUGGGUAAAUAACACAUUUAUUAUCUCAAAGUUUCUCUGGGUCAGGAACCCAGGCCUGGCUUAACUGGGUCCUCUGGUCUCACAAGGCUGCCGUCAAGGUGCUGGCCAGGGGCUGCGGUCUCAUCCGAAGGCUCGCCUAGGCAGCAUCCACCUGCAAGCACGUCUGUGGUGGUUGGCAGGGUUCCAUUUCUGCUGGGUUGUUGGGCCGAGGGCUUCAUUCAUCCAGUAUCUCAGAUGGCUUCUGGGGGCACAAAGUUCUUUGCUAGGUUGUGUUUCUCUGGUUCAGGCCAGGAAGGAGGAGGAGCCUUUGGAGGGGGGCAGGCCUAGAAGUGGUGGCCUCCCUUCUGCCCAGAUUCCAUGGGCCAGAACUCAGUCCUCUGGCCCACCUGUCUAAUGGUGGGGUUGUUGGGGAAGCUCAGAGAUGUAGGCCCAGGAGGAAGAGGACAGGACACAGGGGAACAAUCCUCCAGCCUCUACCCUGUGCAGGGGGUCAGAGCACAGAGUGCAGUCCCUUCUGUGUCAACGUGACUGGGCCACCGUGGGCCCAGAUGGCCAUCUGGACAUUAUCUCUGGGCCUGUCUGGGUGUUUGCAGGGGAGACUAGGGUUUGAAUUAUUGAACUGAGAAAAGCACAUGGGUGGGUCUCCUGUUGCCUGAGGGCCUGAGCAGAACAAAGAAGCCGAGGAAGGUGAAUUUGGGCUCUGCCGGACUGCCAGCUGGGACCUCAAUCCUCCCCUGACCUUGCAGCGCCAGCCACAGGCUUUCAGACCCAGCCUGGAUCUGCGUCACUGGCUCCCCUGCUCCCAGCCCUUCAGCCUGUACCACCUGGUUGUCCUGGGUCUCCAGCUUACUGACGACAGAUCAUGAGAAGCCCCGUAAUCAGCCUCCGUGAUCAUGAGCCGACCAUCAGUGGACCCAGGAUUGGCUCCUGGGCUACCACAUGACUCAAUUCAAGCCAAUGAGAGUCAGGCUCAGAACUUGGCUCUUAUUGAUGGAGGAGGAACAAUUCACUCUUGGCCUGGAGGCUGGGAGCUGGGGUACCGCCAUGGUGCUUCAAUUCCCUGAGCCAACGGAGAAGGCAGCGGGGCUGAGAAACUGGACCACAUGACGUCAUCCUGAUGACAUCAUCCAGACUCCCGCAUCCAGCCAAACCCGUGACCUGGAUCCCAGGGCCCCUCAGGCAGAGGCCAGCGGAAACUGUCACUCUAUCCUCCCAGCUCUACCGAGGAUGGCCCUUGGGUGGAACUUAAGGACGUGGAUCACACGACACUGGGAAACCUCACCGUGUGGCGAAAAACCCUUGACUUUCAGGCCAGUGUGUUCUGCAUCUUUAGGACUAGCCGGAGGUUUUUGGAACACCUUUGACCGGUCACCACUCUCGAGUGGUAACAGCAAGGAAAGUGAGUUCCUGUCCAUCUCAGACAUGGUGGAAUGAUUCCUCCCUCUGCGUACACUGGCUCUUUCCAGAAUCAUCGUUUAUCUCCUGGGCUAGGGCAGCACUGAAGGUGCAGUUGUGGUGGGAAAGAGCAACCCUCAGAGAAAAUUAACUCUGAGCCUCCAGGCUCUUUCUAACGUGGUUGGAUGUUAUUUAAAAGGUAUUCAAAUAAAAG